rnacentral:sRNA from 1 species
UAAUACUAUAUACAAUUUGUGAGAGGGUUGCUCUUGAUUGGUUGUUUAUUAUUAGACCACUAGGGCAAAAGAGCUCAAUCACCACCAGUGCUGUGAUGGUAUAGAGGAUAUGAAUCACUCAAUCCAAUCCCCCCAACACCCCCCCUUGGACUCACUCUACCAUCCAGCCAGCUGGGAGAAUCUGGCUCUUUCUAAAUUCCACUACUCUACUGUCAUUGGUCCUUGGUGGUCUGGGGUAUUUCUGGGUGUCUAACCAUCAAUCUCCUCCACCUUGGUAAGAGAAUGUGCAUUAGUAAGGGAUAUUCUUCUGGCUUUGAUCUGAUUUGAAUCUGUGAUAGCAUGUUGGCACACCCUGUAGCAGUCGCGCUUACACAGGCUCAUAAUCUAUUAGACCACUAGAGCAAAAGAGCUCAAUCACCACCAGUGCUGUGGUGGUAUAGAGGGUACAAAUCACUCAAUCCAAUCCCCCGAACAUUUAUCUAUCUAGUGGCAACUAAUAUAUGUAUGUGUGGGUCACGUGGGAUAGGGCUUGUGUAGUAGCACCAACACCCCCCCAUGCUACGCAGGCCAACUUGCCCACGCAGCCACGAGAACGCCCAAAUCAUUCAAAUCUGCAAUAAUAAUUAAUUACAAAAACUGGCAUCUAGUUUCCUCAUAAGAACUAGGCCCAAUACAUGAAAUUACAGCAUAAAUCAUGCAAGAAAGAACACAAAUCCGCCCUUUCUGUAUCUGUAUUACUCCUUCAGUCAUUCUAACACUGUGGGAUCUCAUAUUCUUGUUGAUUCUUGUUGUUAUCAUUCCAUCGUUCUCGGUUAUCGAUAUGGUUAUAUCCAUGAUGUUGUGAACACCAUGGGGUUAUGGUUAUGGUUAUAUCCAUGAUAUUGUUGAUACCACGGGGUUAUGGUUAUGGUUAUGGUUAUAUCCGCAAUAUUGUUGAUACCAUGGGGUUAUGGGUAUGGUUAUGGUUAUAUCCGCAAUAUUGUUGAUACCAUGGGGUUAUGGGUAUGGUUAUGGUUAUAUCUGCAAUAUUGUUGAUACUGCGGGGUUAUGGGUAUGGUUAGAAGACUUGCUCAACAGUGCUGUACAUAGAUGCUGAGUCAUCAUCAUUCUUCUUUGUUCUAUCCUUCCAUUCUGAAGAGUGCUUCUCAGAGUGUGCAAAGAAGCAGUUGAGUUUCACAUGAUUAUUCUUCUUGCAGUGAGUGCAUCUCUUGAUGUCCUGAGGCUUGAUAUUGUGGUCAUUGAGUGGUUAUUGGUGUUGGAAAGGAUCCAGAUGCACUGAUUUGAUUCCCUGGUGUUUCUUUGCAGUUUGUUGCUCGCGUACUAAUAGGCAUUUGGUUAUCAAGUUAUUGAGGUUAUCAGGUAUCAGGGUAUCAAAAUGAAUGGAAGAAGAGGUUCUUUUAACAAAAGAAG